rnacentral:rRNA from 1 species
UGGGGAAUAUUGCACAAUGGGGGAAACCCUGAUGCAGUGACGCCGCGUGAGCGAAGAAGGCUUUCGAGUCGUAAAGCUCUGUCCUAUGAGAAGAUAAUGACGGUAUCAUAGGAGGAAGCCCUGGGCUAACACGUGCCAGCAGCCGCGGUAAUACGUAUGGGGCGAGCGUUGUUCGGGAUUAUUGGGCGUUAAGGAUACGUUGGCGGUUUUUUAAGUCAGGUGUCAAAGCGUGGAGCUUAACUCCAUUAAGCAUUUGAAACUGAAAGACUUGAGUGAAGGAGGGGAAAGUGGAAUUCCUAGUGUAGCGGUGAAAUGCAUAGAUAUUAGGAGGAAUACCGGUGGCUAAGGCGACUUUCGGGACUUUUCCUAACGCUCAGUUACGAAAGCGGGGGGAGCAAACAGG